rnacentral:rRNA from 1 species
GCAGUCGUACGAGAGUUUUUAACUCAAGUUGGCGGACGGGUGAGUAACACGCUGAGNNNCNNCCUUUAGGAGGGGGAUAACAACUGGAAACGGUUGCUAAUACCCCAUAUGCUUUCGAGUGAAAUGGAUUUAUCCGCCUAGAGAGGAGCUCGCGGCUGAUUAGCUUGUUGGUAGGGUAAUGGCCUACCAAGGCGACGAUCAGUAUCUGGUUUGAGAGGACGAUCAGACACACUGGAACUGAGACACGGUCCAGACUCCUACGGGAGGCAGCAGUGGGGAAUUUUCCGCAAUGGGCGAAAGCCUGACGGAGCAAUACCGCGUGAGGGAAGACGGCCUAUGGGUUGUAAACCUCUUUUCUCAGGGAGGAACUCAAUGACGUGUACCUGAGGAAUAAGCAUCGGCUAACUCCGUGCCAGCAGCCGCGGUAAGACGGAGGAUGCAAGUGUAAUCCGGAAUCACUGGGCGUAAAGCGUCUGUAGGUGGUUUAAUAAGUCAGCUGUUAAAUCUUGAAGCUCAACUUCAAAAUCGCAGUCGAAACUAUUAGACUAGAGUAUAGUAGGGGUAAAGGGAAUUUCCAGUGGAGCGGUGAAAUGCGUAGAGAUUGGAAAGAACACCGAUGGCGAAGGCACUUUACUGGGCUAUUACUAACACUCAGAGACGAAAGCUAGGGUAGCAAAUGGGAUUAGAUACCCCAGUAGUCCUAGCUGUAAACAAUGGAUACUAGAUGUUGAACAGAUCGACCUGUGCAGUAUUAAAGCUAACGCGGUUAAGUAUCCCGCCUGGG